rnacentral:rRNA from 1 species
AGAGUUUGAUCCUGGCUCAGAUUGAACGCUGGCGGCAUGCCUUACACAUGCAAGUCGAACGGCAGCGCGGGGCAACCUGGCGGCGAGUGGCGAACGGGUGAGUAAUAUAUCGGAACGUACCCUGGAGUGGGGGAUAACGUAGCGAAAGUUACGCUAAUACCGCAUACGAUCUAAGGAUGAAAGUGGGGGAUCGCAAGACCUCAUGCUCCUGGAGCGGCCGAUAUCUGAUUAGCUAGUUGGUGGGGUAAAGGCCUACCAAGGCAUCGAUCAGUAGCUGGUCUGAGAGGACGACCAGCCACACUGGAACUGAGACACGGUCCAGACUCCUACGGGAGGCAGCAGUGGGGAAUUUUGGACAAUGGGCGAAAGCCUGAUCCAGCAAUGCCGCGUGAGUGAAGAAGGCCUUCGGGUUGUAAAGCUCUUUUGUCAGGGAAGAAACGGUGAGAGCUAAUAUCUCUUGCUAAUGACGGUACCUGAAGAAUAAGCACCGGCUAACUACGUGCCAGCAGCCGCGGUAAUACGUAGGGUGCAAGCGUUAAUCGGAAUUACUGGGCGUAAAGCGUGCGCAGGCGGUUUUGUAAGUCUGUCGUGAAAUCCCCGGGCUCAACCUGGGAAUUGCGAUGGAGACUGCAAGGCUAGAAUCUGGCAGAGGGGGGUAGAAUUCCACGUGUAGCAGUGAAAUGCGUAGAGAUGUGGAGGAACACCGAUGGCGAAGGCAGCCCCCUGGGUCAAGAUUGACGCUCAUGCACGAAAGCGUGGGGAGCAAACAGGAUUAGAUACCCUGGUAGUCG